rnacentral:rRNA from 1 species
UACGAAGGGGGCUAGCGUUGCUCGGAAUCACUGGGCGUAAAGCGCACGUAGGCGGAUCUUUAAGUCGGGGGUGAAAUCCCGGGGCUCAACUCCAGAACUGCCUUCGAUACUGAGAGUCUCGAGUCCGGGAGAGGUGAGUGGAACUGCGAGUGUAGAGGUGAAAUUCGUAGAUAUUCGCAAGAACACCAGUGGCGAAGGCGGCUCACUGGUCCAUUACUGACGCUGAGGUGCGAAAGCGUGGGGAGCGAACAGG